UACGAGUGCCCCAAGCGUUAUCCGGAAUUAUUGGGCGUAAAGGGUGUGUAGGUGGUUGUGUUAGUCUUCUGUUAAAUUCUUCGGCUUAACCGGGGGCAUGCAGAGGAAACGGCACAACUAGAGGAUGCGAGAGGUGAAUGGAACUCAUGGAGUAGGGGUGAAAUCCGUUGAUAUCAUGGGGAACACCAAAUGCGAAGGCAAUUCACUGGCGCACUCCUGACACUGAGACACGAAAGCGUAGGUAGCGAAUGGG
rnacentral:rRNA from 1 species